CCAAGAAUGGUUGAAUGUGUUGCACUUGAUCCAUAAAGUAAUUUCAGCUCGAUCUAAUAGCCGAUGCAACCCAUUGUAUUUAAACAGGUUAUCGGUCCAAAUCUUAGUCUCAUAAUCAACUCAGACUCUUGUUCAUACUGCUUAGACUCGACUAAUCCUUCUUGCAGUAUAGAGUCCAAUAGAUUAUUCAGUUGUUCAUGCAAUAUAUUUGGUUAGUACUUA
rnacentral:lncRNA from 1 species